CUACGGGACGCAGCAGUGGGGAAUCUUGCGCAAUGGGCGAAAGCCUGACGCAGCAACGCCGCGUGCGGGAAGAAUGCCCUUUGGGCUGUAAACCGCUUUCAGCAGGAACGAAAAUGACGGUACCUGCAGAAGAAGAAGCGGCCAACUAUGUGCCAGCAGCCGCGGGUGAUACAUAGGCUUCGAGCGUUGUCCGGAUUUAUUGGGCGUAAAGAGUUCGUAGGCGGUUAAGUAAGUCGGGUGUGAAAAUUCUGGGCUCAACCCAGAAACGCCACCCGAUACUGCUUGACUUGAGUUCGACAGGGGAGUGGGGAAUUCCUAGUGUAGCGGUGAAAUGCGCAGAUAUUAGGAGGAACACCGGUGGCGAAGGCGCCACUCUGGGUCGACACUGACGCUGAGGAACGAAAGCAUGGGUAGCAAACAGGAUUAGAUACCCGCGUAGUC
rnacentral:rRNA from 1 species